rnacentral:rRNA from 1 species
UGGGAGCUUGCUCCCUGAUGUUAGCGGCGGACGGGUGAGUAACACGUGGGUAACCUGCCUGUAAGAGUGGGAUAACUCCGGGAAACCGGGGCUAAUACCGGAUGGUUGUCUGAACCGCAUGGUUCAGACAUAAAAGGUGGCUUCGGCUACCACUUACAGAUGGACCCGCGGCGCAUUAGCUAGUUGGUGAGGUAACGGCUCACCAAGGCGACGAUGCGUAGCCGACCUGAGAGGGUGAUCGGCCACACUGGGACUGAGACACGGCCCAGACUCCUACGGGAGGCAGCAGUAGGGAAUCUUCCGCAAUGGACGAAAGUCUGACGGAGCAACGCCGCGUGAGUGAUGAAGGUUUUCGGAUCGUAAAGCUCUGUUGUUAGGGAAGAACAAGUGCCGUUCAAAUAGGGCGGCACCUUGACGGUACCUAACCAGAAAGCCACGGCUAACUACGUGCCAGCAGCCGCGGUAAUACG